GGGUUGUGAGGUUAAGCGACUAAGCGUACACGGUGGAUGCCCUGGCAGUCAGAGGCGAUGAAGGACGUGCUAAUCUGCGAAAAGCGUCGGUAAGGUGAUAUGAACCGUUAUAGCCGGCGAUGUCCGAAUGGGGAAACCCAGUGCAAUUCGUUGCACUAUCGUUAACUGAAUACAUAGGUUAACGAGGCGAACCGGGGGAACUGAAACAUCUAAGUACCCCGAGGAAAAGAAAUCAACCGAGAUUCCCCCAGUAGCGGCGAGCGAACGGGGAGCAGCCCAGAGUCUGAAUCAGCUUGUGUGUUAGUGGAACGGUCUGGAAAGUCCGACGGUACAGGGUGAUAGUCCCGUACACCAAAAUGCACAGGCUGUGAACUCGAAGAGUAGGGCGGGACACGUGGUAUCCUGUCUGAAUAUGGGGGGACCAUCCUCCAAGGCUAAAUACUCCUGACUGACCGAUAGUGAACCAGUACCGUGAGGGAAAGGCGAAAAGAACCCCGGCGAGGGGAGUGAAAAAGAACCUGAAACCGUGUACGUACAAGCAGUGGGAGCACCUUCGGGUGUGACUGCGUACCUUUUGUAUAAUGGGUCAGCGACUUAUAUUCUGUAGCAAGGUUAACCGUAUAGGGGAGCCGCAGGGAAACCGAGUCUUAACUGGGCGUUAAGUUGCAGGGUAUAGACCCGAAACCCGGUGAUCUAGCCAUGGGCAGGUUGAAGGUUGGGUAACACUAACUGGAGGACCGAACCGACUAAUGUUGAAAAAUUAGCGGAUGACUUGUGGCUGGGGGUGAAAGGCCAAUCAAACCGGGAGAUAGCUGGUUCUCCCCGAAAGCUAUUUAGGUAGCGCCUCGUGAACUCAUCUUCGGGGGUAGAGCACUGUUUCGGCUAGGGGGUCAUCCCGACUUACCAACCCGAUGCAAACUACGAAUACCGAAGAAUGUUAUCACGGGAGACACACGGCGGGUGCUAACGUCCGUCGUGAAGAGGGAAACAACCCAGACCGCCAGCUAAGGUCCCAAAGUCAUGGUUAAGUGGGAAACGAUGUGGGAAGGCACAGACAGCCAGGAUGUUGGCUUAGAAGCAGCCAUCAUUUAAAGAAAGCGUAAUAGCUCACUGGUCGAGUCGGCCUGCGCGGAAGAUGUAACGGGGCUAAACCAUGCACCGAAGCUGCGGCAGCGACACUAUGUGUUGUUGGGUAGGGGAGCGUUCUGUAAGCCUGCGAAGGUGACCUGUGAGGGUUGCUGGAGGUAUCAGAAGUGCGAAUGCUGACAUAAGUAACGAUAAAGCGGGUGAAAAGCCCGCUCGCCGGAAGACCAAGGGUUCCUGUCCAACGUUAAUCGGGGCAGGGUGAGUCGACCCCUAAGGCGAGGCCGAAAGGCGUAGUCGAUGGGAAACAGGUUAAUAUUCCUGUACUUGGUGUUACUGCGAAGGGGGGACGGAGAAGGCUAUGUUAGCCGGGCGACGGUUGUCCCGGUUUAAGCAUGUAGGCUGGUUGUCCAGGCAAAUCCGGAUAAUCAAGGCUGAGGUGUGAUGACGAGGUACUACGGUGCUGAAGUAACAAAUGCCCUGCUUCCAGGAAAAGCCUCUAAGCAUCAGGUAACAUCAAAUCGUACCCCAAACCGACACAGGUGGUCAGGUAGAGAAUACCAAGGCGCUUGAGAGAACUCGGGUGAAGGAACUAGGCAAAAUGGUGCCGUAACUUCGGGAGAAGGCACGCUGGUGUGUAGGUGAAGUCCCUGCGGAUGGAGCUGAGACCAGUCGAAGAUACCAGCUGGCUGCAACUGUUUAUUAAAAACACAGCACUGUGCAAACACGAAAGUGGACGUAUACGGUGUGACGCCUGCCCGGUGCCGGAAGGUUAAUUGAUGGGGUUAUCCGUAAGGAGAAGCUCUUGAUCGAAGCCCCGGUAAACGGCGGCCGUAACUAUAACGGUCCUAAGGUAGCGAAAUUCCUUGUCGGGUAAGUUCCGACCUGCACGAAUGGCGUAAUGAUGGCCAGGCUGUCUCCACCCGAGACUCAGUGAAAUUGAACUCGCUGUGAAGAUGCAGUGUACCCGCGGCAAGACGGAAAGACCCCGUGAACCUUUACUAUAGCUUGACACUGAACAUUGAGCCUUGAUGUGUAGGAUAGGUGGGAGGCUUUGAAGCGUGGACGCCAGUCUGCGUGGAGCCAACCUUGAAAUACCACCCUUUAAUGUUUGAUGUUCUAACGUUGGCCCCUUAUCGGGGUUGCGGACAGUGUCUGGUGGGUAGUUUGACUGGGGCGGUCUCCUCCCAAAGCGUAACGGAGGAGCACGAAGGUUAGCUAAUCCUGGUCGGACAUCAGGAGGUUAGUGCAAUGGCAUAAGCUAGCUUGACUGCGAGCGUGACGGCGCGAGCAGGUGCGAAAGCAGGUCAUAGUGAUCCGGUGGUUCUGAAUGGAAGGGCCAUCGCUCAACGGAUAAAAGGUACUCCGGGGAUAACAGGCUGAUACCGCCCAAGAGUUCAUAUCGACGGCGGUGUUUGGCACCUCGAUGUCGGCUCAUCACAUCCUGGGGCUGAAGUAGGUCCCAAGGGUAUGGCUGUUCGCCAUUUAAAGUGGUACGCGAGCUGGGUUUAGAACGUCGUGAGACAGUUCGGUCCCUAUCUGCCGUGGGCGCUGGAGAAUUGAGGGGGGCUGCUCCUAGUACGAGAGGACCGGAGUGGACGCAUCACUGGUGUUCGGGUUGUCAUGCCAAUGGCACUGCCCGGUAGCUAAAUGCGGAAGAGAUAAGUGCUGAAAGCAUCUAAGCACGAAACUUGCCCCGAGAUGAGUUCUCCCUGAGACUUUAAGUCUCCUGAAGGAACGUUAAAGACGAUGACGUUGAUAGGCCGGGUGUGUAAGCGCAGCGAUGCGUUGAGCUAACCGGUACUAAUGAACCGUGAGGCUUAACCUUACAACGCCGAAG
rnacentral:rRNA from 1 species